UACGUAGGGUGCAAGCGUUGUCCGGAAUUAUUGGGCGUAAAGAGCUCGUAGGCGGUCUGUCGCGUCUGCUGUGAAAACUCAGGGCUUAACCCUGAGCUUGCAGUGGAUACGGGCAGGCUAGAGUUCGGUAGGGGAGACUGGAAUUCCUGGUGUAGCGGUGAAAUGCGCAGAUAUCAGGAGGAACACCGGUGGCGAAGGCGGGUCUCUGGGCCGAUACUGACGCUGAGGAGCGAAAGCGUGGGGAGCGAACAGG
rnacentral:rRNA from 1 species